rnacentral:rRNA from 1 species
AUAUCAGUCAUGCAUAGCAUAUCAAUAAGCGGAGGAAAAGAAACUAACAAGGAUUCCCUUAGUGACGGCGAGUGAAGCGGGAAGAGCUCAAAUUUGAAAUCUUCAAGGUUUUACCUUGACGAAUUGUAGUUUAAAGAAGUGUUUUCUGUUGAAGUUUUGGUAAAAGUUCUUUGGAAUAGGACAUCAUAGAGGGUGAGAAUCCCGUAUUUGACCAUUACUUUCAGCUUUGUGAUACACUUUCAAAGAGUCGGAUUGUUUGGGAAUGCAGUCCAAAAUGGGUGGUAAAUUUCAUCUAAAGCUAAAUAUUGGCGAGAGACCGAUAGCGAACAAGUACCGUGAGGGAAAGAUGAAAAGAACUUUGAAAAGAGAGUUAAACAGUACGUGAAAUUGUCAAAAGGGAAGCGUUUGACACCAGUGUUGUUUUCUCGAAAAUCAAUUAAAAAGAGUUGGAUUUUGUGUUGUAUUGACUUUAUCAGGCUUUCUUCACUCUUUUCCAGCUUUUUUUAAUGCACUUUUCGUUUAACAAGUCAACAUCAGUUUCUUUUGUUGUAAAAAGGUCAUUGGAAGGUGGCUUUCUCUUCGGAGAAAGUGUUUAUAGCCUUUGACUCAUGCAAUCGGAGAGACUGAGGUCUGCAGCGUAGAUCCUUCGGGGUUAGAUACAUUUGUGCUAAGUUAUAGCUUUUCAUAGACAACUUGUUGACUAUGUUUAGUCUUGUAGCUUACUCGCUUAUGCUAUUUUACCUACGCUUAGGAUGUUGAACUCUAUCACACACAG